rnacentral:rRNA from 1 species
AAUGAACGUUGGCGGCGUGGAUUAGGCAUGCAAGUCGCGCGACAAGGAACCUUCGGGUUCUGGAGGAGCGGCAAACGGGGUAGUAAGGCAUCGGAACGUACCCUCUUGUUGGGAAUAGCCGCGGGAAACUGCGAGUAAUGCCCAAUAAUCCCUACGGGGCAAAGGUCCGCCGCAGGAGGAGCGGCCGAUGUGAUACCAGCUAGUUGGUGAGGUAAUGGCUCACCAAGGCUUAGACGUCUAGGGGGUGUGAGAGCAUGGCCCCCACCACCUGGGACGUGAGAUACUGCCCGACGACACCUACGGGUGGGCUGCAGUCGAGAAUCUUCGGUCGAAUAGGGCGGCAAGACCUCGACCGACGCAACGACCGCCGUGCGGGAGUGAAGGACCCGUUC